UGAGAGGUCGAAUCCAGCCCCUGCACUGAGGCAGGACCAAGUAAACCUAGACCAUCCCUGACAGGUGUUUGUUCAACCUGUUCUUGAAAACCUCCAAUGAGGGGGAUUCCUCAAACUCUCUUGGAAGCCUCCCAUGGGUAUGUAGUAGACCCCACUUUCCUAGUGCAGUGGGCCAACACCCCUUCAAAGAAAUUCAGAACACUGUGCUUCAAAGGCCCGAAGGACUGUGUCAGUUCCCAAAAAGGACUAAAGCCGGGGUUUGAGGACUGAAAAUGUAAGAUGAUCAUUAAUCUUUAUAGCUGUGCAUAGGUCGAGGUGAUGCCCAAGCUCAAAGUUUAAGAACUAGAUCCAGUUUGUGCCUCUGUCUACUGCUAAGUUGCAUAGAACAAGAGUAACCAAAUGUCACACUUCAGAGGGAAGAUGAUUGCCUGUGGAAUUUUUAUAACCCAUACUGUUUUGCAGUGGGUCAGCUGCUCUAGGAAAAGCUGAGAUUAGUUUUCUCCUGUGAACAAUCAGAAAGUGACCACUGCUCAAGUCUUUUUGUCUUUUUUCCCCUAUUUUCUUAAUCAUUUUUACCAUGUGAAGUUUCAUUUAGUUACCAUGAGUGCAGGGGACUGGACUAGACGACCUCUUGAGGUCCCCUCCUGUUGAAUGAUUCUAUGGACUUUGCUCCCAUUUAUUCAAGUGGAAGGAAAUAACAAAUUUAAUGACAUUUCUGUGGGCCAGUUUGUGCCCUUGUUCCUCACUGGUGUGCUAGAAAGUGGUGAAGUGCUGCAGAACCUGAGAGGAUGAGCUCCGAGAUCCUGGGACCAACACAGCUACAACAGUGCAAGAUUGGCAGAUGGACGUUCUGCCACAGCUUCCUCAAGGUGAAAUCUGUGGGGCUCGUGGAUUGAUGUGCUACACAACCUCAGCAAGCUUGGCAGCAUCUGGCCCUAACAGUUGCACUAAUCAGCCUGAGCAGUUAACACUGUUUACAAAUGGACUAUUUACAUUCAGCUUCCGAGGUCAUGAUGUCAGCUGAAUUAUUCUGAGAAUGAAAGUGGAUCACCACCAGCAGUGAUUUUUGAAAGAGCCUCUAGGAGCACAUGGGGGAUGUGCUAUACAGUACCAUAUCCCCACACUUCACCAGGGGAGGAGGGACCAAGUCGCUUCUGCAUUGAGUGCAAGUAUGGCAGCUGCUGCAGUCUGUCUCUCUUCCUAACACUGCUUGCCUGCCUGCCCGGGCCACAGUAUGAAGAGCCGCUGUUAGGUUGGAGCCCAGAGGCCAGUUCCUCAUCACCGCCACCACAGAGGGGAAAGCUGCUCUCCUCCAACCCUACUUACCAGUUUUCCUUCCAGAUCAUUACUACAGAACUUAAAUAAAACCACGCCAGAAGGAAGCCAGAAAAAGAGAAGCAUGAGUGCUAAGAAAACUAGAGUGAAACUCCAGUGGAGGAAUUAGGGCCCUGAUUCAGGAAAUCACCUGUAUUCAGGAAAACACUCAAG